rnacentral:rRNA from 1 species
CCUACGGGCGGCAGCAGUGAGGAAUAUUGGUCAAUGGACGAGAGUCUGAACCAGCCAAGUAGCGUGAAGGAUGACUGCCCUAUGGGUUGUAAACUUCUUUUAUAUGGGAAUAAAAUGUUCCACGUGUGGGAUUUUGUAUGUACCAUAUGAAUAAGGAUCGGCUAACUCCGUGCCAGCAGCCGCGGUAAUACGGAGGAUCCGAGCGUUAUCCGGAUUUAUUGGGUUUAAAGGGAGCGUAGGUGGAUUGUUAAGUCAGUUGUGAAAGUUUGCGGCUCAACCGUAAAAUUGCAGUUGAAACUGGCAGUCUUGAGGACAGUAGAGGUGGGCGGAAUUCGUGGUGUAGUGGUGAAAUGCUUAGAUAUCACGAAGAACUCCGAUUGUGAAGGCAGUUCACUGGACUGCAACUGACACUGAGGCUCGAAAGUGUGGGUAUCAAACAGGAUUAGAUACCCCAGUAGUC